rnacentral:lncRNA from 1 species
AAGUUUGUGGUUUCCCCGGAACGUUCAGCGCUUUCAAAAUGGCGAAAACACCUGAGUGCAGAGGUAUAACAAAGGAGAAUAUAUUUUUCGUUGCUUCUCUUAACCUACCCCGAAACCACCAUAAUCAACAACAACAACAUCACCACCAUCUACCCUCAGCAGCGGUGCUCACCUUUAGCUAGAGGAAACAACACUGCACGCUUGGAGUACAAUUCAUUUUGAAAUCUCUCAGUGCUGUGAGUUCUCCUAAGAAGGUAAUUGAUCAGUAUCAAUGUUUCACUGUUAGUAAGAGGGGAGAUUCUAAACACAAGCACCUGAUAGGCCUGUACACUAAGGACGAGAACUUUAUCAUGAGAGCGAAGAAUGCAGAGGAGCAAGAGGAUAGGUACCUGGCUCUGAAUGACCUGAGUAUCUAGGAGAAAAAUCAGCACCAGGACACUGAGGAGUUGAAUUAUGGAUGCUGGACAAUCUCUCCUGGCACCAUCUUCAAACCAAGAACCUAACGGGGCUGUGUCUCUCUGCCAAGAGAUGCUGUCUGUCAACCUGCCUAUGAUGAAUGUCUUUCGCUGUGGUCACUCCCGAGUGCUUCUUCUUUAUUGAGGUGGGUCGCUCGAUCCUCUACUGGGCCCGCGGAGAUCUGGAUGCAGGUAGACUCAGGUGACCCUGUAGUGGCUCAGAACAUGCACAAGACAAUCCUGGUGGCCGUGAGAGCGCUGGCGGCCAUCCCUGAUUUCAGGCCGCGGAGCAAGAGUCAAUCAUUCCCAUCAAACCCCUGCGCUGUAGUCACCACGUGACGUCAUCAACAUGUCAACCUGCCACCCAGACGGACUGGGCUCCAGCGGUCCUCAGGGACUGAAACUGUUGUAAGCAAACUGUCCCCACAGAAAAGUGAAAGAGAUGAAGGCCACCGCCCUAACCAAACCUGUAGCCAAGGAGAGGGGACAGGUUAACAACUGAUCAGCCCUGCGACUGGCACCUUGGCUCUCUGUAAUGUCUGCAUCAAUAAAAUCCUUGAAGAGAGCCUCAGUCACGGUGCCUGCAUCUCCACCACCAUUCCCGCCAGUGUAUCCGGCAGCGGUGGCAAUGUCUCUGAUACACACCUCUGGCCCCUCCGUCUGUGGUUCUCCCAAUGAUAGAGGCUCUGUCUGGGCUGAGGAUUUGGGCUCCCAGCCUUUCAGUUCUCCAGCAGUAACACCUCUGACUCCCACUCAUUGAAGAGAACAGCCGGACUGACUACGUGGCCAUGGAUCUGAAGGUAAUGGCGAGAUCUUCGGUGUGGAAAAAGUCUACCCCUGAACAUUCCAGACAAUACCACCAAAUCACUUCAUGCGCUUCAAAAUGUGAAAAAUACCUCAUCCAAGCCCCCUUUCCUUCAUGUCUAUCACCAGAGUACACAUACACCCUCAGUGGCGGGCAGUUAUAUGCCAAUGACUCCUGGCCCAGGGCCUCAUGAUGCAGAUUAUAUCCCUUCAGAAGUCAAUGUGACUCCCACCCCUCCUCAAACACCUAGUGCUACCAUGUUCUCCUCAGACCAGGUGGGGCCCCAGGGCUACAUGAUGAUGCUUCCACAUAGCUGUUCACCAGCAAAGGAGAGCCUUAGUGAUGUCGAUCAUUCACUGUGAUGAAUACAUGGACGUGUCUCUUUGGAGCCCCAUGGAAGACCCAUACAUAUGGCUCACCCGAGGCUGUUAAAUCUUCUUAUUCCUCUCUACCAAGCUCCAACCAGCUCUCUACCAAGCUCCCCCCCCACACACACAGAGGAACUGUGAGCACGAUGACUAUGUCCUCGUGUGCCAUCCUGCAGAUAAUCACUACUCUGCAGUUGAAUGGAACGGUAGAAGCCCUCUCAGUAGCUCACCUUGUCGUACUUCUCAUCCAAACAGUGAUUUGUAUGUCGGAUGUCACCGGUUUAUCCUGCUUUUGAAUUGAUUUAAUACAGAACAAACCAGAUUGUGAAUACUCAGC